rnacentral:rRNA from 1 species
AUUGAACGCUGGCGGCAGGCCUAACACAUGCAAGUCGAGCGAGCGGCGGACGGGUGAGUAAUGUAUGGGGACUGCCCGAUAGAGGGGGAUAACUACUGGAAACGGUGGCUAAUACCGCAUACUAUCGGAUAACCCAUAUGGGAUUAGCUAGUAGGUGGGGUAAAGGCUCACCUAGGCGACGAUCUCUAGCUGGUCGGAGAGGAUAAUCAGCCACACUGGGACUGAGACAGGGCCCAGACUCCUCGGGAGGCGGAAGUGGGGAAUAUUGGACAAUGGGCGAAAUCCUGAUGCAGCCAUGCCGCGUGUAGGAAGAAGGCCUUAGGGUGGUAAAGUACUUUCAGCGGGGAGGCGGUACCCGAAGAAGAAGCACCGGCUAACUCCGUGCCAGCAGCCGCGGUAAUUC